ACAACCGUGGCCGAGUGGUUAAGGCGUCUAAUUAGAAAUUAAAUUCCCUCUGGGAGCGUAGGUUCGAGCCCUGCCGGUUGCG
rfam:Zootermopsis nevadensis contig17784, whole genome shotgun sequence.